GAAAAAUCACAUUCCAUCACGGGGAGAACAGAUGGGAUUUUUUCCCCUCCCCUUUCUCCCUCUUCUGGGGCUUGGAGUCAGGAAUCAUGUCAGCCGCGGAUUUGCUGCAGCCCAGGGGAUGGAACCCAGGGCCUCCUGCGUGCCAGCCAAGGACUGUCCCCAGAGCAGGGCCCCGAGCCCCACAGGCUCACGUCUUCCCAUCGCCUGACCUGCCCUGUCUGCCCCUGGCCUCGCUCCCGGUCCCUCUCCUGGAGGGCAGGGCCACCUUCUGCCCUGCUCUGUUGCAUCCCGGGGCACAGAACACACACGGCCUGCGCUCUCCCGCUCUCCCGUCUGCGACAUUAGCUCACCCUCUGCCACCGGUCCCACCAGGACGCCCCGGGGUCAGACCCUGAUGGCAUUUUUGAUGCCUCCACCCUCCCCACCAAGCGGGGAGCCGGCUGCAGGAAGGGGCCUGUUCCAUUUGUUUCCUUCGCGGCUGGAUCCCCGUCCCCACCCCCACCCCACCCCCAAAGCCCGAUCCACUGCGGGCUUCUCGGAUCGGGUGGGGGGUGGCGGAGACCAACAGGACUGAGUCAUUCCGCUAUUUAAAAGCCGUCAGAAGCUUCUCUCCUUCAGACCCCAGCAGACACCUCCGCACCUGCCCAGCCCCAUGGGGGGUCCCCUUCCCACUCCUGAGUGUCCGCCUCUGUGGGCGCUGCGCCCCCCCCACCCCAGACACCCUGCGCCCCCCUCGGGGUCCACGGCUGGAGCCCAGGGCUUCGGCACCCAGAGCCGAAUCAGUCCGCGGAUGGGAUCUGCUCCGCCCGUGAGAAGAAAUUUUAAUGAAUCUCCAGCUUUUAAAUAUCAGGGAAGAGACAGGGUUUUGAAUGUUCCCAACACAAAGGAUAAAUGUCUGAGGUGACAGAUGCGCCAGUGACCCUGAUGUGAUCGUUUUACGUGGUUGUGACCUGCUGCAGGGCCCCUUUGUGAUGUCACUUCUGCUGUAAGGAGGUUCCCGUCAGCCCCGAACCCCACAGCCCAUGUGACGGUGCCCAUGGGACGCUUGUCACUGGAUUUGGGGGCCAUCUUAAUACAGAAGGAGUUCAUUGCAAAAGUCCCACCUGCAAAAAGACCCUCUGUCCACAUGAGGCUCCGGCAUGCAUGACCGCGUCCCUCCAAAGUCCACGUGUUGGACCUCGGUGGAUGGGAUGCUGCUCCAAGGAGGGACCCUUUGAAGGUGGUUGGACCUCGAGGUCUCCUUCCUCCUGAGAGGGAUUGAUGCCUUUAGAAAAGGGCCUGAGCAGGAACGAUAGCUCCUCUGCACCCUUCUGUCUCUUCUGCCAUGUGAGGACAGAAGGACGCAGAACAAAGCACCAUCUUGGAGUCUGAGAGGGAUUCCCCACCAGACUCCAAAUCCGCUGGUGCCUUGACCUUGGACUUUCCAGCCUCCAUUGCUGAGGCUGGCCUCAAACUUGUGAUCCUCCUGCCUCAGCCUCCCCAGUAGCUGCAAUUACAGUGUUUUGAGGCCAGAGGAGAUUCAGAGCCGGCCGCCCGCACGGCCCCAGAAGCCUGCUGGAUGGAGCUGAGCGGUUGUCAUUUCUCUCCCACACGUCAGACUCCGAGUUCCUGUCAGCAGCUUGCCUCUGGCCUCUGACCUGCCCGCCCCACAUCUCUGCAGGGCUGACAGGUGGGUUAAGAGGGAGCGCUCCCUGGAGCCAAGACACACUUUUUGCCUCCAAGCUGCCUCAGCCCUCCAAACAUCAAGAUCCAGAGGCCUGCCCCCGCCUUCCUCGGCCCCUCCGCCUUGCUCCCAGAGGACCGGCCUCAGCCUCCGGUCCUCUCCCUCCAUUUCCAAAUGGCCGCUGCUCCAGGGCCACGCGAGCCCAAGGUGAGUGAGUCUGUUCCCAUACGUGCUUCCUCCAUGAGGCGCUGCCUCACCACCGGCCCAGAAGCAACAGGGCCAACUGAUCUUGCACUGGAACCGUCUUUCUCUGACCUUUCAGUUCACGGUUCUCAAUGCUUAGACCACGGGGGUCUUCUGUGGAGCCACAGCCUUCCACACCGCUCCCCAACACAGCCUUCCCGGGUCCCAAGCCAAAGAAGGCCUCCGUGCCCUCCCUCAGUCCCUGCCUGUCUGCCACCUGCCACACCUGCCUUGUCCAGGUGGGGCUGCGUGUGGGGCUGCGUGUGUCGCAUUCACUGCUGAUUUCCUCCAGUGAAUCCCGGCUGUGACAAACGCACGCAGGAAGUUGGGUGUGGUGGCACACGCUGGUAAUCCCAGGGACUCGGGAGGCUGAAGCAGGAGGAUCACAAGUCAGCAAGGUUCUGUCCCAGAAUAAAAACUAAAAAGGGCUGCAGAUGUCGCUCAGGUGGAGGGCACUUGCCUGUCACCUGGGAGGCCUGGGUUCAGUCCCCACCCCCGCCACAACAUACACACAGACACGGAGGAGAAAGUGAGCAAGUGUGGCCGCACCUUCUGCAGAAGCUACCUGGGCUUCUAGGAUGACCUUGGCAGGCAUCUGAGAAGUCACACCCACUCCUGCCCCCACCAACGACAGAAAUGGCCUGAAGAAGUCCGAGCUCCUUCUCUGGGAUUCUCUAACCCACAGAUCAGUCCACCCCCAAUCGCCCCCGCGCUGCCCAAGCACUGUCCAGUCUCCCCCUCGAGCAGUCAGGGCAGGUCCCCGGGCUCUCCCUGCCUCCUCACCUGCUCACCUGUCUUCUGGUCUCCCCACCUUUGCUCCAUGCCCUGGGUGGCUUCCUCCCACCCCACCCGCACCUCUCUGCCCCUCACAUCUCCUCCACCCCAAGCCCUGGUCACACCCCAGGCCCAGGUUCCUCAACUCGAGGCUGGCUCUCUCUGCUCCUGGCUCCCCCUGCACCCCUCCGGGCCUCGCACCUGUUGGGAAAGCGCUCCCCCUUCUCACCACCCACCUCCCAGGCAUUUUCCACUCAGCCGACCCCACUUCGGACACGUUCAGUUCUCUCCCUUCACCCCCACUUCGCCCUCUCACACCCCAGCUCUGCCUUCUUCACCGACCUUCCUCCUGCGCACCUGGGGGGAGGGCGGGGCCUGCUCACCUGCGGCCGCAGAGCAGCGGAGCAGCGGCCUCUAGUGGCCGGGGAGGGAAGCGCCACCUAACUGGCUCCCGGGUGCCUAACCUGGACGCCCCGCCACUCACACCUGUCUGUGGCUCCGACCCGAACCAGGGCCACUCCUUCACCUUCUCCUGGCCGCUCACUGUGUGCCCGGGGUCGUUCUGGGGUUGAGCACAAGCAGUGAACAAGAAGCAAGCAUCCUUGGCCUCAAGAAGCUGAUAUUCGGUGAUGGGACAGAUCAAUAAAAGCUCGAGUGGGUGAGGAGA